UACGUAGGGGGCAAGCGUUGUCCGGAUUUAUUGGGCGUAAAGAGCGUGUAGGCGGCCAGACAGGUCCGUUGUGAAAACUCGAGGCUCAACCUCGAGACGCCGAUGGAAACCGUCUGGCUAGAGUCCGGAAGAGGAGAGUGGAAUUCCUGGUGUAGCGGUGAAAUGCGCAGAUAUCAGGAAGAACACCAGUGGCGAAGGCAGGUCUCUGGGCAGUAACUGACGCUGAGGAGCGAAAGCGUGGGGAGCGAACAGG
rnacentral:rRNA from 1 species